AGCACCUAAGAACAAUAGGAAUGGGAGGCAUUAGGAAAGUUGCAAGCCAAGUCUCCACAAACAUGGAGCUUGCACUUUCCUCCAUGUUCCCAUUCCUACAGCUCUUAGACCCU
rnacentral:pre_miRNA from 1 species